rnacentral:rRNA from 1 species
AGUGAACGCUGGCGGUAGGCCUAACACAUGCAAGUCGAACGGCAGCACAGUAAGAGCUUGCUCUUACGGGUGGCGAGUGGCGGACGGGUGAGGAAUACAUCGGAAUCUACUUUUUCGUGGGGGAUAACGUAGGGAAACUUACGCUAAUACCGCAUACGACCUACGGGUGAAAGCAGGGGAUCUUCGGACCUUGCGCGAUUGAAUGAGCCGAUGUCGGAUUAGCUAGUUGGCUGGGUAAAGGCCCACCAAGGCGACGAUCCGUAGCUGGUCUGAGAGGAUGAUCCGCCACACUGGAACUGAGACACGGUCCAGACUCCUACGGGAGGCAGCAGUGGGGAAUCUUGGACAAUGGGCGCAAGCCUGAUCCAGCCAUACCGCGUGGGUGAAGAAGGCCUUCGGGUUGUAAAGCCCUUUUGUUGGGAAAGAAAAACAGCAGGUUAAUCCACCCCUGUUCUGACGGUACCCAAACAAUAAGCACCGGCUAACUUCGUG